rnacentral:lncRNA from 1 species
CGGGCAUUUCAGAUUAUUUUGGUUAAUUUGAGUAAAUUUUAUUGAUAAAUUAUUUUUUGCCAGAAAAAAACAGGUGAUUUAAGUUUUUUGGAUAAAUUAUCAGGUAGUUUAUAUAAUUUUAAAUAAUUUAGGGAAAUAGUAUUCAUAUAAUUCAUUUUGGAUAGUUCAGUUUAUAAAUAAUAAGUUUAUGAUAUUUGUUACUGUAAAACUAGGUUUAUUUAAUAUUUUAGAUUUGUAAAUUAUAUUUCAAAUUGAGAUACUUAUUGAUUUUGGUUUGGUUCUCGUUUGUCUUUGAUAUUUUAGUUUCAGAAAAAUAUAGAAUACCUGAUAUAUAGAAAUAU